UCCAUCCAAGUUACAAUUUAUAAAAGUAAACCAUUAUAGGUCAAAGUACGGUCCUCAACGCGGAGUCUUGGCUCACACCGGACAGCAAGCUAUAAAGGGCCCCAAAAAUUACUAGUGUAAAACCAUUCAAAUGGGAAAACCAACGGUCUAAUCUAUAUAAAAAACGAGAAACGAGAAACACUUAUGAACCACAUCAACAAACGACAACUACUGAACAUCAGAUUCCUGACUUAUGACAGGUGCAAACAAUUGCAGCAAGUAGGUUACAUAUUAUAAUUGAUGGAGUUGUUAUUUUUACAAGUUAAGUUUAUUGUUUCCUACAUAUAGAAGUUUAUUUAUAAUAAAUGCUUUUAACAUGC